CUCAUGCAUGUCACUGAUUGGCUGCCUACACUGCUGAGUGCCGCAGGUCACAAGGGAAGAGUAUCGGGUAUAGAUGGAGUCGAUCAAUGGGAAGCGAUUUCAAGAGGACGCUCAACUCCACGGCACGAACUAGUGGUGGAUAUUGAUGAUCAAAAUGAAAUGGCUGCCAUGAUCUUCAGAUCUUAUAAAUACGUAAAAGGAGCAAACAGAAGAGGAAGUAACCCUGCGUUAAACACAUUCUUGAGUACUGAAUAUAUAUUUUCUCCAAGACAACCGAGAUACAACGUCAACGCCGUGGUCCUCUCCCCAGCAUGGGUUGCGGUGCAGAAAUACUCCAGACCUGGA